UACGUAGGUGGCAAGCGUUGUCCGGAUUUACUGGGCGUAAAGGAUGCGUAGGCGGACAUUUAAGUCAGAUGUGAAAUACCCGAGCUUAACUUGGGUGCUGCAUUUGAAACUGGGUGUCUAGAGUGCAGGAGAGGUAAGUGGAAUUCCUAGUGUAGCGGUGAAAUGCGUAGAGAUUAAGGAAGACACCAGUGGCGAAGGCGACUUACUGGACUGUAACUGACGCUGAGGCAUGAAAGCGUGGGGAGCAAACAGG
rnacentral:rRNA from 1 species